CAAUAGCGUAUAUUAAAGUUGUUGCGGUUAAAAAGCUCGUAGUUGGAGUUCUGCCAGGUGACACUCGUCCGCCCAAGUGGUGUGUACAGGGUGUGCAUCUGGCCCUUUCAAGGGGAACGUGUCUGCACUUCAUUGUGUGGUGCGAGAUCCUUGACUUUUACUUUGAGGAAAUAAGAGUGUUCCAAGCAGGCUCUCGUCGUGCAUAGCUCAGCAUGGAAUAAUAGCAUUGGACUUCGUUUCUACGCUGUUGGUUGCAAGAAGCGAGGUAAUGAUGAAGAGGGAUAGUUGGGGGCAUUCGUAUUUAACUGUCAGAGGUGAAAUUCUUGGAUUUGUCAAAGACGGACUACUGCGAAAGCAUCUGCCAUGGAUGUUUUCAUUGA
rnacentral:rRNA from 1 species